CCUCCUCCUCCUGCUCCUCCUCCUCCUUUAUAUCCAGGCUGCUCUGUUGUGUUGUUGUAUUUUGUCAUCAUGAUCAGACUCUUCAUACACUUGGCAGCGCUGUCGUUCUGUUUAACAGAACCCUCAAAGAACAGCGCUCAUCAGACCCCCUCCGCUCUGAUUGAGCAUCCCGGAGCAGCGGUCCUGAUAAACUGCAGUCAUUCCAACUCCAACUUCGAUAUGAUCCAGUGGUACAAACAGUCUCCAGGGAAACAUGACAUGGCUCUAAUCGGCUACGCACGGUUCUCUUCUCAAGUCGUUGAAGAGGCGUUCAAAAACGUCUACAACGUGACGGGCCACGGGAGCAGUCUGUCGUCUCUUUACAUUCCCAAGCUGAGGAGGUCGGAGGACAGUGCCGUGUAUUUCUGUGCUGCCAGCGAGGCACAGUGCUACACAAAGCCCUCCGAGCUCAACAAAAACCUUCUUCCCCUUCAUUCACCAGCUGAUGAUAACAAAAACAUAAACCACAGGACAGCUGGCUCACCAGGAGACGGAUCCAUCGUUCUAAUAACCGUUAGGGCUCAGCGUUACACCACAGAAAGUUCCUUCUCAACUCACAGACUCUGAAUGCAGCACAAGAAUGAAAGUUUCCUGCACGUGUCUGGGUUGACACCAAAGGUCGUGUUGAUGAAUUCAGGUUACGAAUAUGAAGAUGUUUUAAUCUGUGCAUCAAGUUUAGAUCUUAAUGCAUCUAAUAGGGCAUCAUCAAAACGCAACAACAUUUGAGGGUAGGGACAAC